rnacentral:rRNA from 1 species
UACGUAGGGGGCGAGCGUUGUCCGGAUUUAUUGGGCGUAAAGAGCGUGUAGGCGGUUCGGUAAGUCUGUCGUGAAAUCCUGAGGCUCAACCUCGGGCGUGCGAUGGAUACUGCCGGGCUAGAGGGUGGUAGAGGCGAGUGGAAUUCCUGGUGUAGCGGUGAAAUGCGCAGAUAUCAGGAGGAACACCAAUUGCGAAGGCAGCUCGCUGGGACGUUACUGACGCUGAGACGCGAAAGCGUGGGGAGCAAACAGG